CGCUGCUCUUCCCCGCGGAGCCCGCGCAGUCCGCGCAGCCCUCAUCGCAACUGGGCCCGCGCGCAGGCCUUACAUAGGAAGUCCUUCUAAAGAGCUGCCUGCCAGCUGCCCUUCCCCAGAUCCCGAAUAUCCUCCUGGCCAGGUGGAGCAGAGAACAGUUCCUCAGCUGGUCAUGCUGAGCUCAUACCCUGAUGGCUGCUCCAUGAGGUCAAGACUGGGUCUCCUCCCUCCUCCCCCUUCACCAAUGCCUGGUCUCACGGGGCUAGUUUUGACCCCCACGCUAUGGCAUCAUCGACCUCCCUCCCAGCUCCUGGCUCUCGGCCUAAGAAGCCUCUAGGCAAGAUGGCUGACUGGUUCAGGCAGACCCUGCUGAAGAAGCCCAAGAAGAGGCCCGGCUCCCUGACAUACCUGACACUGCAUUAUCUCAGUUAACUUUCAGCAACUAAGACAGGUCCACAAGUCCACAGUCAAAGCCGUGUCCCUGACUCCAGAGUGUGGGUUCUGAAUCACGAAGCUCUCUGCUCCUCAGCAACUCUGAGCAGUAGCCUCUUCCCCAUUUAGCGACAAUCUAGGAUUUCUUGGGGCCAAACAGAUGCCAGUCCUCCGUACCCCUUCCUUCCUGUAUACGUAGCCCUUCCUAAUCUAAGUCCACCUCCCCUCAGUGCUGAAAGUGGGCUUUGGGACUGAUGGAUCCUUGCUAGCAUAACGUAGCUCUGCCUGCAGACUCCCGGUGGUUGACUAGUCAGCUCUAGUGGGAAGUUCUGCUUAAGGUGGGCUGGGCUGGGGGUACCAGAUAUCAAAGGGCCUGGAGUAGUGCAAGGCCAUUUCUCUUAACCAGGCUGGUGGAACACUCUCACAUAAGGAUUCCAGAGUUCUGACACGUCCAAAACCUUUACCUUUAGAGGGCACUUUUAGGCAAGUCC
rnacentral:lncRNA from 1 species